AUUCCAGCUCCAAUAGCGUAUAUUAAAGUUGUUGCAGUCAAAAAGCUCGUAGUUGGAUUUCUGGUGGGGCUGUCGGCUUGGCUCCGAGAGGGGUCGUGGUUAGUACACGCCUGGCCAUCCUCGGGGGAAGCUUUGCUGGCAUUAAGUUGUCGGCGGAGUGACGCUCGUCGUUUACUGUGAACAAAUUAGAGUGUUCAAAGCAGGCUUAGGCCGUUGAAUACAUUAGCAUGGAAUAAUGAGAUAGGACUUUGGUGGUCUAUUUUGUUGGUUUGCACGCCGAAGUAAUGAUUAAUAGGGGCGGUUGGGGGUAUUCGUAUUCAAUUGUCAGAGGUGAAAUUCUUGGAUUUAUGGAAGACGAACUACUGCGAAAGCAUUUACCAAGGAUGUUUUCAUCA
rnacentral:rRNA from 1 species